rnacentral:rRNA from 1 species
UACGGAGGGGGCUAGCGUUGUUCGGAAUUACUGGGCGUAAAGCGCACGUAGGCGGCUUUGUAAGUUAGAGGUGAAAGCCCAGGGCUCAACCCUGGAAUUGCCUUUAAGACUGCAUCGCUUGAACAUCGGAGAGGUAAGUGGAAUUCCGGAGUGUAGAGGUGAAAUUCGUAGAUAUUCGGAAGAACACCAGUGGCGAAGGCGACUUACUGGACGAUUGUUGACGCUGAGGUGCGAAAGCGUGGGGGAGCAAACAGG